GUCGUACAAGUUUCCGUAGUGAACUGCGGAAGGAUCAUU
rnacentral:rRNA from 1 species